AAAGGGACGCGCGCUUACCCGGUUCUGACUGCGGGCCUGGGAGUAUGGAUCUCAGCUGCGGCCUGGCUCUUUCUCUCAGCUGUCGGCCCCCGAGUUUAACGCUAUACAUCUGUCCCUCCCAGACCAUGAGAGGAUGGUUGACUUCUCUUUCCAGGUGCCGCCUUUCACUUCCUCUCACCUCGAGUUAGUUCAGGGCUUUUUGUUUUUUUGCAUUUUGGGACAAGUAGGAAGACAGAAUUUCAAGGUGGACAUCGUGGAUUACAAUUGCACAAAGUAGAGGCUGGCUUCUUUGUGGAGAGUCCAGAUGCAGCUGACUUUGUCCCUCUGGGGCUACGUGGUAUCUUCUCGCAGCACCUCUCACCUACUUUACUCUUCUCUUUGAACACUGGAUUCCUAUAACUGUUCCAGAAUGAAAGCCUCGGCCCCAUGUCUCUUUGACCUUCCAGUUUGAUCCGUGUAGCAAACCGUUUCGCAGCACGAGUUUUCUGGAAGAGAAUUCCGAUUGGUCACACAUGGGUGCCAUUCAUUCGAGGGACAGUGACCAAUGACAUCCAUUAUGCACGGCCAUGAAUAUUUAUCUAGUGCCUUAUCCCUGUACCAGAGAGAAUAGGAAAAGAGUUAUGAAGAGGCUUUUCUUCCACACCAGAUGACCAGUGUCCUUCCUCAGCUCAACUGAGAAAAUUAAGUGGACUGGUCUUCAGGGUGUGAACUCCAGGAUGUGGUCCUUGUCUUUCUCUUGCCUGCCACAGAGUAGGUGUCAUAAGUGUGUGUUAAAGGAUGGACUCUCCCUUUUCUUCCCUACAUGUGCAUACAUCCAAAGGAAAUCAGGGCAAACCCACAUUUGGAACAAACUUAAAUGGAUUCAGACUCCUUAGAAGAACACCUAUGCUAAUCACACCUUGCUGUUUGGCUCUGCAUUAACUGCCUCCAGGAUCUUAUGUCUCAGAAGGAGAUUC